rfam:Haemonchus placei strain MHpl1 genome assembly, scaffold: HPLM_scaffold0002453
GGUCCCGAAGUUUGCUCAGAUGAUCCAGAUGUUAGUCGCCAGAUGGGAAGCAAUUAACAUUUGGAUCAUCUGAGCGAUCUUUCUGGAAG